GUGUCAGCAGCCGCGGUAAGACAGAGGGCGCGAGCGUUGUUCGGAAUCACUGGGCGUAAAGCGCGCGCAGGCGGACCAGGCAAGUCUGGAGUGAAAUCUCGCCGCUCAACGGCGAGGCUGCUUUGGAAACUGCGGGUCUGGAGACCGGUAGAGGCUGGUAGAAUUGCAGGUGUAGCGGUGGAAUGCGUAGAGAUCUGCAAGAAUACCCGUGGCGAAGGCGGCCAGCUGGGCCGGUUCUGACGCUGAGGCGCGAAAGCGUGGGGAGCAAACAGGAUUAGAAACCCGUGUAGUCC
rnacentral:rRNA from 1 species